rnacentral:rRNA from 1 species
AAUAGAUACCCUGGUAGUCCACGCCGUAAACGAUGUCGACUUGGAGGUUGUUCCCUUGAGGAGUGGCUUCCGGAGCUAACGCGUUAAGUCGACCGCCUGGGGAGUACGGCCGCAAGGUUAAAACUCAAAUGAAUUGACGGGGGCCCGCACAAGCGGUGGAGCAUGUGGUUUAAUUCGAUGCAACGCGAAGAACCUUACCUACUCUUGACAUCCAGAGAACUUAGCAGAGAUGCUUUGGUGCCUUCGGGAACUCUGAGACAGGUGCUGCAUGGCUGUCGUCAGCUCGUGUUGUGAAUGUUGGGUUAAGUCCCGCAACGAGCGCAACCCUUAUCCUUUGUUGCCAGCGGUUCGGCCGGGAACUCAAAGGAGACUGCCAGUGAUAAACUGGAGGAAGGUGGGGAUGACGUCAAGUCAUCAUGGCCCUUACGAGUAGGGCUACACACGUGCUACAAUGGCGUAUACAAAGAGAAGCGACCUCGCGAGAGCAAGCGGACCUCAUAAAGUACGUCGUAGUCCGGAUUGGAGU